CCCUUAGAUGUCCGGGGCCGCACGCGCGCUACACUGAAGGAAUCAGCGUGGCUCUGUCCCUGGUCCGAAAGGAUUGGGAAACCCGUUGAAUCUCCUUCGUGAUAGGGAUUGGGGCUUGGAACUGUUCCCCAUGAACGAGGAAUUCCCAGUAAGCGCGAGUCAUAAGCUCGCGUUGAUUACGUCCCUGCCCUUUGUACACACCGCCCGUCGCUGCCCGGAACUGAGCCAUUUCGAGAAAAAUGGGGACAGACUGCUUGUGGGUGCGCAAGCACUUCUUGCAGAUUGAAACCAUCUUGAUCGGUAUGGCUUGAACCGGGCAAAAGUCGUAACA
rnacentral:rRNA from 1 species